AACAAAAUUUCUUCGUUCACAUACAUAUACACAUGUCAUGAUAUUUGGAGAAAUCUAACAGAUUAUAUACGUUGUUUAUUUCUACCAAAAAUAUAAUGUUCAAUCUGUUUAAACUUAUGAUUCAUUUACAAACGAUGCAUAUAUCAAGCAUCUCAAGCACAAACACAAUAAAGAUAAAGCUAUUGUUAUCUCAUUUAUUGUGCAAGAAAUUAUAAAACAUUCUUUUGUUCAUCA
rnacentral:lncRNA from 1 species